CCUACGGGUGGCAGCAGUGGGGAAUAUUGCGCAAUGGGCGAAAGCCUGACGCAGCGACGCCGCGUGAGGGAUGAAGGUCUUCGGAUCGUAAACCUCUGUCAGCAGGGAAGAACGGUCACUGUGCUAAUCAGCAGUGAAUUGACGGUACCUGCAAAGGAAGCACCGGCUAACUACGUGCCAGCAGCCGCGGUAAUACGUAGGGGGCAAGCGUUAUCCGGAUUUACUGGGUGUAAAGGGAGCGUAGACGGCUGUGCAAGUCUGAAGUGAAAGCCCAGGGCUCAACCCUGUGACUGCUUUGGAAACUGUGGAGCUAGAGUGCUGGAGAGGUAAGUGGAAUUCCUAGUGUAGCGGUGAAAUGCGUAGAUAUUAGGAGGAACACCAGUGGCGAAGGCGGCUUACUGGGCAGUAACUGACGUUGAGGCUCGAAAGCGUGGGGAGCAAACAGGAUUAGAUACCCCAGUAGUC
rnacentral:rRNA from 1 species